AGUAAAGAAGCUGCUGUCUGAUCUUAAGGAUGAUGAACAUUACAAACUACAGACAGUGAGGUUCUAAUGAAUAUCUGUGUGAUGAAGACUCCAGUGUUCCUGCAUUACCAUGAUGGAGAAUAGAGAACAUGUUUAUUAACACAUCACUCAUUUAGUUCUAACACAUUAAACACACACAGAGACGUGAGAAGUGUGUGUUCAUCGUGUACAGUGAAUCAGACUAAACACAAUUCUACACUGAGUUUAUAAUGACCUCUGAUCCCUGGAUAAAAUUCCCUGGACCUCAAUCCCAUAAAAACCUGAGGGAUUAUUUGUAACAGCAGGAGAAAAUCCACAUGAACUCGAGCUGAACCCUGUUCAUUUUACUGUUUGUGUGAUUUAUUAUUUGUUUAUUAUUGUAAUAUGAUUUACACUUUUUACACAUGUACACUUAUAGCUAUAAUUACUGGACACAUAACUAAAAUCAUAUUGUAUAAAGGUACUUAAAAUGUCUUGUAUACAUAUAAAGCAGGAAUGCCAAACUUCACAAAGGAUAUGAACCAGUAGGGGUUGCGGAAGUGCCUUCGAUUGGACCUUCAUGCUGUGGGCUAAGCCCUUAUCAAUAAAAUUGAUUCAAUUAAAUAAUGGCACACAAGUUGUGCUACUCAGGUGUCACAAGUUAAUUAUAGGCACGUGACCAAGAGACUAUAAAUAAGUGUGCCGAUGGCGAGAAAGGCACCCGUCAUGUUACAAUACCAACACAAAAUGCAGUUUGAAAAGCACUGUUUAUUUCACUUACUUACAGUGCACGGCUGCUUCCCCCCAGUUUAACAUCUUAACAUCUCAGCAACAUAAAACACUUGCAGUAAAUAUGUUGGAAAAUAUCUAGAUGGUAAUGAAAUUGAACAGCCAUCAGCAGCAACAGAAUUGUUUCAUUCAAAUUGAUUGAUCAAAAUCAUUUAAAAUCUAAAUUUGUGUUGCUUUUAUAAAUUAAAACAUUUACUCAGUGUU